CUGCAGCCCGAGUGGUGAUCGAUUUUAUUGAGCCUAAAGCGUCCGUAGCCGGACUAGUAAACCCUUGGGUAAAUUGGGCAGCUUAACUGUCCGAAUUCCGAGGGGACUGCUAGUCUUGGGACCGGGAGAGGUCAGAGGUACUCAAGGGGUAGGGGCUAAAUCCUGUAAUCCUUUGGGGACCACCAGUGGCGAAGGCGUCUGACUAGAACGGAUCCGACGGUAAGGGAUGAAACCCUGGGGCGCGAACCGGAUUAGAUACCCGAGUAGUCC
rnacentral:rRNA from 1 species